rnacentral:rRNA from 1 species
UACGGGGGGGGCAAGCGUUGUUCGGAAUUACUGGGCGUAAAGGGCUCGUAGGUGGCCAACUAAGUCAGACGUGAAAUCCCUCGGCUUAACCGGGGAACUGCGUCUGAUACUGGAUGGCUUGAGUUUGGGAGAGGGACGCGGAAUUCCAGGUGUAGCGGUGAAAUGCGUAGAUAUCUGGAGGAACACCGGUGGCGAAGGCGGCGUCCGGGACCAAUACUGACACUGAGUGAGCGAAAGCCAGGGGAGCAAACGGG